rnacentral:rRNA from 1 species
AGAGUUUGAUUCUGGCUCAGGAUGAACGCUAGCGACAGGCUUAACACAUGCAAGUCGAGGGGCAGCGGGGGAUGCGUUUGCUCAUUCUGCCGGCGACCGGCGCACGGGUGAGUAACACGUAUGCAACCUGCCCCGUCCAGGGGGAUAAUCGGCGGAAACGCCGUCUAAUACCGCGUAUAUCGAUUCCGGGCAUCCGGGAUUGAAGAAAGGGCCUUAGGGUCCGGGACGGGAUGGGCAUGCGGCGCAUUAGGGAAGUUGGCGGUGUAACGGACCACCAAUCCGUCGAUGCGUAGGGGUUCUGAGAGGAAGGCCCCCCACACUGGUACUGAGACACGGACCAGACUCCUACGGGAGGCAGCAGUGAGGAAUAUUGGUCAAUGGGCGGGAGCCUGAACCAGCCAAGUCGCGUGAGGGAAGAAGGUACUGAGUAUUGUAAACCUCUUUUGCCAGGGGACAAAGGCGGCCACGGGUGGCCGUAAGAGGGUACCUGGAGAAAAAGCAUCGGCUAACUCCGUGCCAGCAGCCGCGGUAAUACGGAGGAUGCGAGCGUUAUCCGGAUUUAUUGGGUUUAAAGGGUGCGCAGGCGGCGUGUCAAGUCAGCGGUAAAAUGUCGGGGCUCAACCCCGGCCGGCCGUUGAAACUGGCGUGCUCGAGUUGGAGAGAAGUACGCGGAAUGCGCGGUGUAGCGGUGAAAUGCUUAGAUAUCGCGCAGAACCCCGAUUGCGAAGGCAGCGUACCGGCUCCACACUGACGCUGAGGCACGAAAGCGUGGGUAUCGAACAGGAUUAGAUACCCUGGUAGUCCACGCAGUAAACGAUGAAU